rnacentral:lncRNA from 13 species
AGGAUUCAGCCCGUAGAGUCAGUCUCCCGUUAGCCAGUUGGUGUGCUGCUACAACAGAAGAUUAGUCUUCUAGAACAAGGUUGUGUCCCAAACGGCACCCUAUUUCCCUAUAUAGUGCACUACUUAGGNNNNNNNNNNCCAACAGAAUGGUGCCUUCUAACUGGGCUCGGGUGUCACUAUCCAUCCCUCUCCCCAACACCCCUAAAGACAAGACACCCCAUCCAAUUCCAUUUGUAUAAACUCUGACCCACCGAUUUCUUUCACAAUGAAUCAUCACUGAUAUGGUAGCUAAAUUAUUCUCACUUUUCUACACAGUAAAUGGUAUCUUUGCACUGGCACAAGGGAGAAAUGUUUGUUUUGAUAGUGGUUUAUCGUUUUUAAGGAAAAGAGGAGAAGAACCUUGGUGCAUCUCAUUGAUGGUUUACCCUCUCUGUUCAGUCCACCCAUUCCCUGCUUAUGUAUCAAAUGGCAUUCCCUAUGGGCCCUGGUCAAAAGUAGUGCACUAUAUAGGGUGGCCAGGCCAAAUUCCUUUCAUGUUUAGUUCGUUUUACCGUUCGUAUCCUAUCAGAAGGGUCACUGGAAACGUGUGCAUUAUUCACAACACACCCCCCAACCCCAUCACACCCAAACAAAUGUCUAUUUAAGAUGGUUGUUGGUGGUGGAUUCAGGAGAGAUGUCCAGUCUGCUGGUGCAAGAUGUUUUAAUUUCUGUUUGAAACCAAUAAAUGUUUACACCAAAACAAUGUGCUUUGUCAUUUCAACAACGCUCCUGUGGUUUGACAAAAUAUGAGAUUCUUUCUGCUUGCUUCAUUACCACCAUACAGGUAACUGCCAACAUAGUGUCUUCAUAGGGUGUUGGCCCACCAUGAGCCAGAACUGCUUCAAUGCACCGCCAUAGAUUAUACAAGUGUCGAACUCUGUCGGAGGGAUGCAACGCCAUUAUUCCAACAUUUGGUGUUUUGUUGAUGGUUGAAAAUGCUGUUUCAUUCACUUCUCCAGAAUCUCCC